rnacentral:rRNA from 1 species
CCUUACCAGGACUUGACAUCCUCUGCAUUACUCGUAACUGAGGAAAUCCUUCGGGACAGAGAGACAGGUGGUGCAUGGUUGUCGUCAGCUCGUGUCGUGAGAUGUUGGGUUAAGUCCCGCAACGAGCGCAACCCUUAUCCUUAGUUGCUAACAGUAAGAUGAGCACUCUAGGGAGACUGCCGGGGACAACUCGGAGGAAGGUGGGGAUGACGUCAAAUCAUCAUGCCCCUUAUGUUCUGGGCUACACACGUGCUACAAUGGGUAUAACAACGGGAAGCAAGCUGGUGACAGUAAGCAAAUCCCUAAAAAGUACUCUCAGUUCAGAUUGUAGGCUGCAACUCGCCUACAUGAAGUUGGAGUUGCUAGUAAUCGCGAAU